UACGUAGGUGGCAAGCGUUAUCCGGAUUUAUUGGGCGUAAAGGGUACGCAGGCGGUCUUUUAAGUCUGAUGUGAAAGCCUUCGGCUUAACCGGAGUAGUGCAUUGGAAACUGGGAGACUUGAGUGCAGAAGAGGAGAGUGGAACUCCAUGUGUAGCGGUGAAAUGCGUAGAUAUAUGGAAGAACACCAGUGGCGAAAGCGGCUCUCUGGUCUGUAACUGACGCUGAGGUUCGAAAGCGUGGGUAGCAAACAGG
rnacentral:rRNA from 1 species